rnacentral:rRNA from 1 species
AGUUUAUUGUUUUUUAUAAUAAAUUUUUUCUGCCCGGUGAAUAUUUUAACGGCCGCGGUACUCUGACCGUGCAAAGGUAGCAUAAUCAUUUGUUCUUUAAUUGGGGACUAGAAUGAAAGAAAGGUUGAAAGCAAAGCUGUCUCUUUUAAGAGCAAGAAAUUGCUGUUGUUGUGAAGAAGCAAUAGUCUGUCAAAAAGACAAGAAGACCCUAUUAAGCUGUACUUUUUCCCAUUGAAUUUUUUCUUUUCAGUAAAAAAAUUCAAUGGAAAGGGUUUAGUUGGGGUGACUGAAGAGGAAUAAACUUUUAUCCUCUUUUGUUUAGAAAACUUUAGGUUUAAUUUUGAUCCAAUAUUUUUUGAUUGUAAGAAUUAGUUACUAUAGGGAUAACAGCGUAAUUUUUUCAUAAAGUUCUUAUUGAAGAAAAAGAUUGCGACCUCGAUGUUGACUUAUUGUUUCCUUGAAAGGUGUAGUAGCUAAAAAGGUUAGUCUGUUCGACUAUUAAAACAAU